rnacentral:lncRNA from 1 species
AAUAGUUGGAAGCAAAACAAGCACGUGGGACAGAGAAAGGCUGAGAGAGAUUUCACUUGGAGCCAAGUGCCAAGGGUUCACCUUAUUCAGUCUUGCACUUGGCAGUGAUGUGAGUGACAAUCAGCUGAUGGAGCUGUCAAGCUCCCCCACCGAUCAGCACUCACUGACACUGGGCAGGUUUUCCAGCCCGGAGAUGGCGUAUGCUCAGAGGUUUAGCCGGGCAUUCCUAAAUCUUCUACAACAAGAAAUGAACAGUUAUCCUUCACCUGAACUUCAAGAAGAGUGUGAAAACUUAGAUCGGGGAGACAUACAACAGGAAGCAUCCCUGACUGAAAGGAUAUCUUUUCCUGGAAUGGCUGAAAGUGGUUCCAGUCAAGUUUUAGAAGACAUGGAAAAAAAUGGAAGUCGAGUCAUGAAGAGUAUAAAAGAGAACACCAAAGAACCUGUAUACACAGUGCCAGAAAUGAGAGAUGAUUUUGAGAAGAAUGAGUAUUUCACAGAGGAAAAUGCUAAAAGGGAAAAGCCUCAAGAGUGUGGAAAAGCUCAGGAGAAGAACAACAAAAACUUAGAGACAACAGCAGAAACUAGAAG